AUUGAACGCUGGCGGCAGGCCUAACACAUGCAAGUCGAACGGUAGCACAGAGAGCUUGCUCUCGGGUGACGAGUGGCGGACGGGUGAGUAACGUCUGGGAAACUGCCCGAUGGAGGGGGAUAACUACUGGAAACGGUAGCUAAUACCGCAUAACGUCGCAAGACCAAAGUGGGGGACCUUCGGGCCUCACACCAUCGGAUGUGCCCAGAUGGGAUUAGCUAGUAGGUGGGGUAAUGGCUCACCUAGGCGACGAUCCCUAGCUGGUCUGAGAGGAUGACCAGCCAAACUGGAACUGAGACACGGUCCAGACUCAUACGGGAGGCAGCAGUGGGGAAUAUUGCACAAUGGGCGCAAGCCUGAUGCAGCCAUGCCGCGUGUAUGAAGAAGGCCUUCGGGUUGUAAAGUACUUUCAGCGGGGAGGAAGGCGGUGAAGUUAAUAACUUCACCGAUUGACGUUACCCGCAGAAGAAGCACCGGCUAACUCCGUGCCAGCCGCCGCUGUAA
rnacentral:rRNA from 1 species